rnacentral:lncRNA from 1 species
GGGUGGCGGGGGCCGGUGCUCGCGGGCCCGGGACUAGCGCUGCGGGGGGACCGUGGCCCCGAGUGGGGUGGCGGGGAUGGUCGCUGACCCGGAAGAAGCUUGGCUUGCCCGAAGGAGGGGAGGAUUAAUGACAAAGACGGCCCCGCUCUUUCCCAUUCAAUCCCGCUCUGCGAGGCGCGCCUAGUCUGAAAGGAGGAGGUCCCAUUCCUUCCUUCUUUUGGUCGGUUCUGAGUGUCAGCUGUCUACUGGGGAUCUGCUAAGGCUAAGAGGCAAAGAUAGGCAAGUCACUCCCCUGACCUCAAGAAACUCCCAGUCUACAGGCGAAGAUACACCACCCACCGGUAGAGUCGCUGGACCAGAAUAUUAGGUGUUCCAGUCAAAGUCACCCAGAUUUGCCAAAAGACCUGGCACAAAUGUCACUUCCACUAUGAAGUCCCACUGACUUCCAUAUACAAGUCACAAGUGAUGAUGCCCCAUCUGGAUUGGUAAAGAACUCACAGCAAGAAAAAUCACUGAUGUGGAAAAACUCAGGACAGCAUUCUUUUGCUGACCACUUACCACUUUUGCACGUACCCAGCAGCCCACUGAAGUGCUUGUACCUGUGUGCCUGGGGAAGGUGGGGAGAAUAUUUCUUCUUUUACCCCUCCAAGGUCUGUAUCUUUAUUACUUUGAUAGUUCCUGCCUUAGUUUAGUUCACCAUCACCUCUCGUCUGGAUUAUUAGGAACUAUUCUUAAUAUACAUCCAAUCCACCCUCCACACUGACAUCUGAGUUCUCAUUCUCCAAAUGCAAGCCUUCAUUGACUAGCCAGUGCCUUCAGGAUCAAGUCAAAAUUCCUAAAUGCAGAGGAGCCCUAACAAACUAGACCCAAGUGUCCCUUCCAGUCUCAUCUUCCAGCACCAUCACAUUGUAUGCACAAGGCACCGUGUAUUUGCUCCUCUUGGAAGAAAAUCCCUCCCACUUCUGUGACUCUUUACCAGCUCCCUGCUCUCCUCCAGCCAGAGAAAAGCACCCUUUCCCUUUCCUCUACCAGGAAAAUCAUACUCAACUUUCAAUACCUAGUUCAAAUUUCAGUUGCUGUGUUCAAUAUGUUAGAGGCAGAACAGGAAAAUGGGAAAGAGUAAGGAUUCUGGACACUUGUGCUCCUCCAUUGAUCACAUUUGUAAGAUUGAGUGACUUGUUUAACUUCCUUAAGCUUCUGUUUUCUUAUAUGUAAGUUGGAGAUUUAACAGUAACUACCACAUCAGGUUAUUGGGAGGAUUAAAUGUGACAAUAUUUCUAAAGCACUUAGGACUGUGCCUGGCAUAUCAGAAGUACUUAACAUGUAAACAUUAACUAUUAUUCUAGUUUUGCUGACAUUUUCUCAACCCAGUUAUAUUUUGGCUUAACUGACUUUAAGAAACUUAAUUUAAUUAAUUUAUUUAUUUUUGAGACAGGGUCUCAUUAUGUUGCCCGGGCUGGGGUGCAGUGGCUAUUCACAGGCACCGUCCCACGACUGAUCAGCAUGGGAGUUUUGACAGAG